rnacentral:rRNA from 1 species
UGGGGGAUAUUGCACAAUGGGCGCAAGCCUGAUGCAGCCAUGCCGCGUGUGUGAAGAAGGCCUUCGGGUUGUAAAGCACUUUCAGCGAGGAGGAAGGGUUCAGUGUUAAUAGCACUGUUCGUUGACGUUACUCGCAGAAGAAGCACCGGCUAACUCCGUGCCAGCAGCCGCGGUAAUACGGAGGGUGCAAGCGUUAAUCGGAAUUACUGGGCGUAAAGCGCACGCAGGCGGUUUGUUAAGUCAGAUGUGAAAUCCCCGCGCUUAACGUGGAACUGCAUUUGA